GAUGAACGCUGGCGGCGUGCCUAAUACAUGCAAGUCGAGCGAACGGACGAGAAGCUUGCUUCUCUGAUGUUAGCGGCGGACGGGUGAGUAACACGUGGAUAACCUACCUAUAAGACUGGGAUAACUUCGGGAAACCGGAGCUAAUACCGGAUAAUAUUUUGAACCGCAUGGUUCCAAAGUGAAAGACGGUCUUGCUGUCACUUAUAGCUGGAUCCGCGCUGCAUUAGCUAGUUGGUAAGGUAACGGCUUACCAAGGCAACGAUGCAUAGCCGACCUGAAAGGGUGAUCGCCCACACGGGAACAGAGACACGGUCGAGACUCCUACGGGAGGAAGCAGUAGGGAAUCUUACGCAAUGGGCGAAAGCCGGACGGAGCAACGCCGCGUGAGUGAUGAAGGUCUUCGGAUCGUAAAACUCUGUUAUUAGGGAAGAACAAAUGUGUAAGUAACUGUGCACAUCUUGACGGUACCUAAUCAGAAAGCCACGGCUAACUACGUG
rnacentral:rRNA from 1 species